UGCAAGUCGAACGAUGAAGGAGGAGCUUGCUCCUCUGGAUUAGUGGCGAACGGGUGAGUAACACGUGAGCAAUCUGCCCCUGACUCUGGGAUAAGCGCUGGAAACGGCGUCUAAUACCGGAUACGAGCCGAGCAGGCAUCUGCAGCGGCUGGAAAGAACUUCGGUCAGGGAUGAGCUCGCGGCCUAUCAGCUAGUUGGUGAGGUAAUGGCUCACCAAGGCGACGACGGGUAGCCGGCCUGAGAGGGUGACCGGCCACACUGGGACUGAGACACGGCCCAGACUCCUACGGGAGGCAGCAGUGGGGAAUAUUGCACAAUGGGCGAAAGCCUGAUGCAGCAACGCCGCGUGAGGGACGAAGGCCUUCGGGUUGUAAACCUCUUUUAGCAGGGAAGAAGCGAAAGUGACGGUACCUGCAGAAAAAGCACCGGCUAACUACGUGCCAGCAGCCGCGGUAAUACGUAGGGUGCGAGCGUUAUCCGGAAUUAUUGGGCGUAAAGAGCUCGUAGGCGGUCUGUCGCGUCUGCUGUGAAAUCCCGAGGCUCAACCUCGGGCUUGCAGUGGGUACGGGCAGACUAGAGUGCGGUAGGGGAGAUUGGAAUUCCUGGUGUAGCGGUGGAAUGCGCAGAUAUCAGGAGGAACACCGAUGGCGAAGGCAGAUCUCUGGGCCGUUACUGACGCUGAGGAGCGAAAGCGUGGGGAGCAAACAGGCUUAGAUACCCUGGUAGUCCACGCCGUAAACGUUGGGAACUAGAUGUGGGGACCAUUCCACGGUCUCCG
rnacentral:rRNA from 1 species